UACGUAGGGGGCAAGCGUUGUCCGGAUUUAUUGGGCGUAAAGAGCGUGUAGGCGGCCACACAGGUCUGCUGUGAAAACUCGAGGCUCAACCUCGAGCUGUCGGUGGAAACCGUGUGGCUAGAGUCCGGAAGAGGAGAGUGGAAUUCCCGGUGUAGCGGUGAAAUGCGCAGAUAUCGGGAAGAACACCGGUGGCGAAGGCGGUUCUCUGGGCCUUACCUGACGCUGAGGAGCGAAAGCGUGGGGAGCGAACAGG
rnacentral:rRNA from 1 species